AUCCAUGGCCAGGUUGAAGGUGCCGUAACAGGCACUGGAGGACCGAACCCACUAAUGUUGAAAAAUUAGGGGAUGAGCUGUGGAUCGGAGUGAAAGGCUAAUCAAGCCCGGAGAUAGCUGGUUCUCCUCGAAAGCUAUUUAGGUAGCGCCUCAUGUCUCACCACUGGGGGUAGAGCACUGUUUCGGCUAGGGGGUCAUACCGACUUACCAACCCGAUGCAAACUCCGAAUACCAGUGAGUGCAAUCAUGGGAGACACACGGCGGGUGCUAACGUUCGUCGUGGAGAGGGAAACAACCCAGACCGCCAGCUAAGGUCCCAAAUAUCAGUUAAGUGGGAAACGAUGUGGGAAGGCUCAGACAGCUAGGAGGUUGGCUUAGAAGCAGCCAUCCUUUAAAGAAAGCGUAAUAGCUCACUAGUCGAGUCGGCCUGCGCGGAAGAUUUAACGGGGCUAAACUGAUAACCGAAGCUGCGGACGCAUACUUGUAUGCGUGGUAGAGGAGCGUUCUGUAAGCCGUUGAAGGUGCAUCGUAAGGUGUGCUGGAGGUAUCAGAAGUGCGAAUGCUGACGUGAGUAACGAUAAAGCGGGUGAAAAACCCGCUCGCCGGAAGAUCAAGGUUUCCUGUCCAACGCUAAUCGGGACAGGGUUAGUCGGUACCUAAGGCGAGGCCGAAAGGCGUAGUCGAUGGAAAACAGGUUAAUAUUCCUGUACCGCUAUAUACUGCGAUGGGGGGACGGAGAAGGCUAGGUGAUCAGGGCGAUGGUUGUCCCUGUACAAGCUUGUAGGGAGAUCUCUUAGGUAAAUCCGGGAGAUCAUUAUCCUGAGGAGUGAUGUCGAGCUCAAUUGCGAGCGAAGUCAUUGAUGCCAUGCUUCCAAGAAAAGCCUCUAAGCUUCAGGUAUAUAGAGACCGUACUCUAAACCGACACAGGUGAUCAGGUAGAGAAUACCAAGGCGCUUGAGAGAACUAUGGUGAAGGAACUAGGCAAAAUGGUGCCGUAACUUCGGGAGAAGGCACGCCGAUUUUGGUGAUGGGAUUUACUCCCUGAGCCGAGGUUGGCCGCAGAGACCAGGCCCCUGCGACUGUUUAUCUAAAACACAGCACUCUGCAAACUCGUAAGAGGAAGUAUAGGGUGUGACGCCUGCCCGGUGCCGGAAGGUUAAUUGAUGGGGUUAGCUUAUGCGAAGCUCUUGAUCGAAGCCCCGGUAAACGGCGGCCGUAACUAUAACGGUCCUAAGGUAGCGAAAUUCCUUGUCGGGUAAGUUCCGACCUGCACGAAUGGCGUAACGACGGGGGCGCUGUCUCCACCAUAGACUCAGUGAAAUCGAAAUCGCGGUGAAGAUGCCGUGUUCCCGCGGCUAGACGGAAAGACCCCGUGAACCUUUACUAUAGCUUGGCACUGAACUUUGAACCUAUCUGUGUAGGAUAGGUGGGAGGCUUUGAAGCGUUAUCGCUAGAUAGCGUGGAGCCAUCCUUGAAAUACCACCCUGGUAUGUUUGAGGUUCUAACUCUGACCCAUUAUCUGGGUUGAGGACAGUGUCUGGUGGGUAGUUUGACUGGGGCGGUCUCCUCCCAAAGAGUAACGGAGGAGCGCGAAGGUACACUCAGCAUGGUCGGAAAUCAUGCUAUGAGCGCAAAGGUAGAAGUGUGCUUGACUGCGAGACUGACACGUCGAGCAGGUACGAAAGUAGGUCUUAGUGAUCCGGUGGUUCUGUAUGGAAGGGCCAUCGCUCAACGGAUAAAAGGUACUCCGGGGAUAACAGGCUGAUACCGCCCAAGAGUUCAUAUCGACGGCGGUGUUUGGCACCUCGAUGUCGGCUCAUCACAUCCUGGGGCUGGAGCUGGUCCCAAGGGUAUGGCUGUUCGCCAUUUAAAGUGGUACGCGAGCUGGGUUCAGAACGUCGUGAGACAGUUCGGUCCCUAUCUGCCGUGGGCGUUGGAAAAUUGAGGAGAGCUGCUCCUAGUACGAGAGGACCGGAGUGGACGAACCCCUGGUGUUUGGGUUGUCAUGCCAAUGGCAUUGCCCAGUAGCUACGUUCGGACAGGAUAACCGCUGAAAGCAUCUAAGCGGGAAGCCUCCUUCAAGAUUAAUUUUCCCUGGGAGUUUAACUCCCCUGAAGGGCCGUUCAAGACUAGGACGUUGAUAGGUUGGGUGUGGAAGCGCUGUGAGGCGUUGAGCUAACCAAUACUAAUUGCCCGUGAGGCUUGACC
rnacentral:rRNA from 1 species